ACAUCAAACAAACAAAAAAGACACAUCAUUUGUUUAUUUUGCAAUCUUGAUUAAUGAUCAGGACUUCACCUUCUUCCGGAGAUAUAACAGAGGAUUGGUGCCAAUGUAAGAGACGAGAUAGUCAUUAAGAAGCUCCUCUGAUCCAAAACGGCAGACAUGAGAAGAUCUUGUUCUUCUCUUUACAACUUGGUAUUGCUGCUUCAAAGUCUCUUUUCUCAUGUCAUGAAGUUCGCUGCCCCCAAAAUCAAAAACAGAGAACCAUUUAGGAAAAAGUGAUUCUUAACGUCUUGAAGAACAAUCAAAUCAUAAAGAUUUUGUUUCUUAAAA